UGGGGAAUAUUGGACAAUGGAGGAAACUCUGAUCCAGCAAUUCUGUGUGUGUGAAGAAGGCUUUAGGACUGUAAAACACUUUUAGUAGGGAAGAAAAAAAUGACGGUACCUACAGAAGAAGCAACGGCUAAAUACGUGCCAGCAGCCGCGGUAAUACGUAUGUCGAGAGCGUUAACCGGAAUUAUUGGGCUUAAAGGGCAUGUAGGCGGUUAAACAAGUUGAAGGUGAAAACCUCUGGCUCAACCAGAGGCUUGCCUACAAAACUGUAUAACUAGAGUACUGGAAAGGUGGGUGGAACUACACGAGUAGAGGUGAAAUUCGUAGAUAUGUGUAGGAAUGCCGAUGAUGAAGAUAACUCACUGGACAGCAACUGACGCUGAAGUGCGAAAGCUAGGGGAGCAAACAGG
rnacentral:rRNA from 1 species